rnacentral:rRNA from 1 species
AUUGAACGCUGGCGGCAUGCCUUACACAUGCAAGUCGAACGGCAGCGGACCUUCGGGUGCCGGCGAGUGGCGAACGGGUGAGUAAUAUAUCGGAACGUACCUUUCAGUGGGGGGAUAACGUAGCGAAAGUUACGCUAAUACCGCAUAUUCUGUGAGCAGGAAAGCAGGGGAUCGCAAGACCUUGCGCUGAUUGAGCGGCCGAUAUCAGAUUAGCUAGUUGGUGAGGUAAAGGCUCACCAAGGCGACGAUCUGUAGCGGGUCUGAGAGGAUGAUCCGCCACACUGGAACUGAGACACGGUCCAGACUCCUACGGGAGGCAGCAGUGGGGAAUUUUGGACAAUGGGGGCAACCCUGAUCCAGCCAUGCCGCGUGAGUGAAGAAGGCCUCGGUU